rnacentral:ncRNA from 1 species
UUUGCCUCAAGGCAAACUCAGGGAAAUCUGAGGACGCAAAGCUAGAGGGGCUUGUCGGGAGACAUGCUAGCCAGCUGCCAAA